rnacentral:rRNA from 1 species
UUGAAGAGUUUGAUCAUGGCUCAGAUUGAACGCUGGCGGCAGGCCUAACACAUGCAAGUCGAGCGGUAGCACAGAGAGCUUGCUCUCGGGUGACGAGCGGCGGACGGGUGAGUAAUGUCUGGGAAACUGCCUGAUGGAGGGGGAUAACUACUGGAAACGGUAGCUAAUACCGCAUAACGUCGCAAGACCAAAGUGGGGGACCUUCGGGCCUCAUGCCAUCAGAUGUGCCCAGAUGGGAUUAGCUAGUAGGUGGGGUAACGGCUCACCUAGGCGACGAUCCCUAGCUGGUCUGAGAGGAUGACCAGCCACACUGGAACUGAGACACGGUCCAGACUCCUACGGGAGGCAGCAGUGGGGAAUAUUGCACAAUGGGCGCAAGCCUGAUGCAGCCAUGCCGCGUGUGUGAAGAAGGCCUUCGGGUUGUAAAGCACUUUCAGCGGGGAGGAAGGCGUUAAGGUUAAUAACCUCAUCGAUUGACGUUACCCGCAGAAGAAGCACCGGCUAACUCCGUGCCAGCAGCCGCGGUAAUACGGAGGGUGCAAGCGUUAAUCGGAAUUACUGGGCGUAAAGCGCACGCAGGCGGUCUGUCAAGUCGGAUGUGAAAUCCCCGGGCUCAACCUGGGAACUGCAUUCGAAACUGGCAGGCUAGAGUCUUGUAGAGGGGGGUAGAAUUCCAGGUGUAGCGGUGAAAUGCGUAGAGAUCUGGAGGAAUACCGGUGGCGAAGGCGGCCCCCUGGACAAAGACUGACGCUCAGGUGCGAAAGCGUGGGGAGCAAACAGGAUUAGAUACCCUGGUAGUCCACGCCGUAAACGAUGUCGAUUUGGAGGUUGUGCCCUUGAGGCGUGGCUUCCGGAGCUAACGCGUUAAAUCGACCGCCUGGGGAGUACGGCCGCAAGGUUAAAACUCAAAUGAAUUGACGGGGGCCCGCACAAGCGGUGGAGCAUGUGGUUUAAUUCGAUGCAACGCGAAGAACCUUACCUGGUCUUGACAUCCACAGAACUUUCCAGAGAUGGAUUGGUGCCUUCGGGAACUGUGAGACAGGUGCUGCAUGGCUGUCGUCAGCUCGUGUUGUGAAAUGUUGGGUUAAGUCCCGCAACGAGCGCAACCCUUAUCCUUUGUUGCCAGCGGUUCGGCCGGGAACUCAAAGGAGACUGCCAGUGAUAAACUGGAGGAAGGUGGGGAUGACGUCAAGUCAUCAUGGCCCUUACGACCAGGGCUACACACGUGCUACAAUGGCAUAUACAAAGAGAAGCGACCUCGCGAGAGCAAGCGGACCUCAUAAAGUAUGUCGUAGUCCGGAUUGGAGUCUGCAACUCGACUCCAUGAAGUCGGAAUCGCUAGUAAUCGUAGAUCAGAAUGCUACGGUGAAUACGUUCCCGGGCCUUGUACACACCGCCCGUCACACCAUGGGAGUGGGUUGCAAAAGAAGUAGGUAGCUUAACCUUCGGGAGGGCGCUUACCACUUUGUGAUUCAUGACUGGGGUGAAGUCGUAACAAGGUAACCGUAGGGGAACCUGCGGUUGGAUCACCUCCUU